rnacentral:rRNA from 1 species
GACGAACGCUGGCGGCGUGCCUAAUACAUGCAAGUUGAGCGCUGAAGGAUGGUACUUGUACCAACUGGAUGAGCAGCGAACGGGUGAGUAACGCGUGGGGAAUCUGCCUUUGAGCGGGGGACAACAUUGGGAAACGAAUGCUAAUACCGCAUAAAAACUUUAAACACAAGUUUUAAGUUUGAAAGAUGCAAUUGCAUCACUCAAAGAUGAUCCCGCGUUGUAUUAGCUAGUUGGUGAGGUAAAGGCUCACCAAGGCGAUGAUACAUAGCCGACCUGAGAGGGUGAUCGGGCAAAUUGGGACUGGGACACGGCCCAAACUCCUACGGGAGGCAGCAGUAGGGAAUCUUCGGAAAUGGACGAAAGUCUGACCGAGCAACGCCGCGUGAGUGAAGAAGGUUUUCGGAUCGUAAAACUCUGUUGGUAGGGAAGAACGUUGGUGAGAGUGGAAAGCUCAUCAAGUGACGGUAACUACCCAGAAAGGGACGGCUAACUACGUG